CUGCUCUUAAACUAUCUGGGUCAGUGAGAAGAGGAUCACAAGGUCUCCUUGUGGUUAUUUUAAACUUUUUUAAAAAAUAACCUUUAAAGGAGAGCAUAAAAAUUAAAUAAUAAAUAAGUCAGAAAUGUCACCAGCUGAAAAGGAAACUGCUCAAUAGGAAGCACUAGGUUAUUGACUCUGACAUGGAAGCUGCAGGGCGGUGUCCUGGGGGUCCCAGGGGUUCCUGGCUCCAUCGGAACUGAGGAGGAGGCCUGGAAUCUAUACUGGAAAACACGCCUGAGAGAAGCAGGACCUGAAGGCAGGAGGUAGGUGGGUUCCAGGACCACUUCCCCCCACCUGCCUGCAGAAAGACACUACCUUUGAUGCUUCCUUCAGAGAAGAAAGGGCUGAGGAAGGUCAGCAGGUGUGUCCAGCUCCUACCACUGACCCUUGCAGUCUUCAGAGCAAAAAGAGAGGAAGGGGAGUCUUUUAAGCAAUCACCCUUUGUGACAUAAAAGUAGCACCAACUGACAUGUGAAAGCUGUUUUUCUUGAAAAAGAAACGUAUUCAGAGAGAACCAUCAGCUGUAAUACAAACUGUCCACACAGCUUUCAAAAUCAAUGCCAAGAUACCAGGAAUGAUGGAGGAACUCUGGCACUUACAAAUAUGCCUCGCAGGACCUCAAAGUGAGAGGUCCGCACAAAGCAACCCCUAUGUCGCAUCUCAAAGGCAGCACAUGAGAACCCAAGGUUUCCCUCAGGUCUGAGGCAAGACAGGCACCAUCCUGGAAUCUAUACCGGAAAACACGCCUGAGAGAAGCAGGACCUGAAGGCAGGGCCCCUUCUGGGCCCCAGGGAAAUAGUGUCAGAUAGAGGUGCUGCAUGUCAGGAGCUGACUUCCUGGUGGCAUCUCUAACUCAGGACCUGGGUUAGUGUUCACUAAGUGUCAUUCUAUGCAAAUCUAUAGCUAAAGGCCAGAUUCUGUGCUAAGAGUUCUGAGAGCAAGAUCCACGGAGGCUUCACUGAGGAAACGGGCCUUCAGUGGGCCCUCAGUAGAUACAACCAGCACAGAAAAGGAAUGACCUAGAGCUGAGAGAGAUCUGCUCCUCAGUGCUGUGGGCAUGCUAUAGACACAGCGGUGAGCAGAGCACAUUCUGGUCCCUGCUGUCUCUGAGCUUGUUAGCAAGCUUUACUUUCUAACAAAGUAGAAGGUACUGGAGGGUCAUGAAAAAGCUGACACUUAGAUCUACAGUGUGCUAAGUGCUGUGCUAAAUGCUUCACAAAAAUCUCAUUUGACCCUCAUUGCAACUCAGUGGUAAGGGGAGAGCAUUAUCAACCGUCUUGGGCACUGGAAAUUGAGAUCACACAGCUUCUUAGCGAUGAGGCCAAAAUUCAAACCCAGGCCUACUUGGUGCAUGGCCACUCUCUUUCUAGGAGACCACAUGGGAAAUAAGGCCAGGCACUUGAAAGCCAGGCGACAUGGUUCAUAUGUGCCAAGGAGGAACGGGGUAGUAUUUGUUAGUGGUUCUCUUUCUGCUGUUGCUGUACUCCACUGCCAGAGUCAAGAUUCCCAAAGAUACACAUGGAAUUCAGAGGGUCCUCCAAGCAAGACAUGCGCCCCCACCUCCAUCUCCAUCAAGUCUCCUACCACAGGGAACUGCAAUGGCCAUCCUGAAGGGAAAAUUCAUGCCAUUAUUUUUCUCUCUCCCUUAAAUCUUAAAACUAGGAGAAGUCAAAAGAAACCAUGUUUGUUUCUCAUCUGGCACUGGUACAGGCCUUUUUAGGGUUCCUAACAACUAUAAGAACCUGGAAAGUCACCCAUAGACCCAAACACCCCCAUCUUUUAGGGGGUAUUUUACCACUAUGUUAGUCAGCUUUGUGUUGCUGUGACCAAAAUGCCUGACAAGGACCAGAGGAGGAAAAGUUUAUUUUUGCACAUAGCUUCAGAGAUUCAGUCCAUGGUCAGCCAACUUCACCACUCUGGGCCCAGGGUGAGACAAGACAGAGGGCACCAUGGAAGACAGUGGCGUACCUCAUGGCAGUCAGGAAGCAGAGAGGGGAAGGGAUCACAGGGAAUGUGUACCCUUCCAGGACUCAUGCCCCGUGAUCUACAGCUUCCAGCCACACCCCACCUGCAUACCAUACCACCUGGUUAGUCCAUCAAACUAGGAUAGACUCAUUAGGUUAUGGUUAUCAUAAUCUCAUCAUUUACCUCUGAAUACUCCUGCAUCAAUACAGGAGCUUUUGGGGAUACCUCCUAUCCAAACCAUAACAUUUCACCCCUGAUCUCCCAAACAUUUAUGCCUGUCUCACAAUGCAAAAUGCAUUUGGUCCAUUUCCAAGAUUCCUCACAGUCUUAGCAGUUCCAGCAUUGUCCAAGUCCAAAGUCCCAUCUGAGACUCAAAGCAAACUCUUGACUGUGAGUCUCUGUAAAACUCAAAAGCAAAGUCAAGUUCUGUGGCUCGUGCCUGUAACCCAGCAACUCAGGAGGCUGGGGCAGGUGAAUCUCAAGUUCAAAGACAGCCUCUGCAAUUUAGUGAGACCCUGUCUCACGUUAAAAAAGUAAAAAGGGCUGAGGAUGUAACUCAAUGAUAUAGUACCCCUGGGUUCAAUCUCCAGCCCCUCCCAAAAAAAAAAAAAGCAAAAGCAAAUUACAUAUAUUCAAUAUACAAUGGUACAGAUAAACAUUCCCAUUCCAAAAGGGAAAAACAGGGGCAUAAAUAGAAGAAAUGGAACCAAGAUGAGAUCAAAACCCAGCCAGGCAAAUGUUUUCUGCACUCCAUGUCUGGCAAGUGGAGCAUAUGGUUGUGAGAUAUGAUCUCCAAAGAGCUUGGACAGCCACACCCCUUAGGCUACAUGGGCUGCAACCAGCAAGGCCAAUCUUUUAGGAUGGCUUUGUCCAUGGUCAGCAGUUUUCCUCUGCAGAUGUCCCACAUUGCUGGCAUCUUUUAAUCUUAGGAUUAUUCACUACAGCUUGGGCUUCCUUCUCACAGCGUCACACACUGCCCUCUCAGGGACAUCCACAGGGAUCAUAACCCUGCCACACCUUGCCUGGCCUCCCAGGUCUUCCUUUGAAAUCUUGGUAGAAGCUUUCAUGACUCUUUUAACUCAAGAAUCCUGCAUUCUUGCAGAACCAGCACCACAAGGAUGAUGCCAAGAUCUGCCACCAGCUCAAGCAGUAGCUGAAUGCCCUUUCACCACAGCUGCAGUGGCCUCUGAGUACCUGGUGAAACUGAGCAUGGUGAGAAACUCCCUGGGCCUCUCUGUGCAAAGUAAUUUUUACAUCUAUACCCUUGGUCCCUUAAAUUAAUUUUUACUUCUAUACCCUUGAACCUAUGGUGGGUGUGGUGUGAGAUGCCUCCAAGGUACCUUUCCUGUUGUCUUUGUGCAAAGUACUUAGUAUCCCUUUAAUGGCUGCAAUCUCUUCAACAACCUGGCCCCAGUCUUACACACACUCUUCAGGCCAAACUGCAAGUUUUAUUUUUUUAAAGUCCUCCUUCUCUGCUUAUUGCUCCAAAUUCUCACAGCCAGCUUGGUUAAAUGCUGCCAACAAUAGUUAUGCUGCUGUAUGAAUUCUGUGCUAUCUUGAUGUUUCCUCUACCAGGUUAAUUAGUCCAUCACCUUUAAAUUUGGCCCCCAGAAAGUCUCAGGACAGGUAAAGAAAAAUGUAUACAAGUUCUUUGGCAGAAUGUUAACAGAUGUGGCCUCCAGUCCAACUGCCAGUAGAGUUCUCACCUCCCUCUGAAACCUCAUGAGCACAAUCUUUACUGUCCUCAUUCCUAUUGGCAUUCUGGUCUUCUGAGCUCUCACCAGAAUUGCCCAUGGAGCUCAACUUAACAUUCUAAGGCUUCUCAGGUCUGCAUCUCCAAAUUUCUCCUGCAAGCCAGUUCUAAAGACUUCUAAACCACAUCAUCAAGUUAAUCUUAUCAAUGAUGCUACUUCUUGGUACCAAUUUCUGGGUUAGUCAGCUUUACAUCAGUGUGACCAAAAUACCGACAAGAACCAUUUAGAGGAGGAAAAGUUUAUUUUGGCUUGGUUUCAGAGAUUUAGUUCCUGGUCAGCUGACUUCAUUGCUCUGGGUCCAAAGUGAGGCAGAACAUCAUGACAGAAGUGCACCAUAGAGGAAAAUAUGAACCAUAUGCACCAUAGAGGAAACCUGCUCACCUCAUGGCAGAAAGAAAUGGGAAGGCACCAAAGGGAAGAUGCACCUUCCAGGGCACACCCCCAGUCACCCACAUUCUCCAGACACACCCCACCUAUCUGCAGUUACCACCUAGUUAGUCCAUCAAACUAGAAUGGAUUAGGUUACAACUCUCAUGAUCUAGUAAUUUCAACUCUGAAUAUUCCUGCAUUUACACUGAUGCCUUUGGGAACACCUCAUAUCCAAAGCAUUACCACCACCAUAACAUCCAAAAGAGAAAAGAGAUGUUUGCAAAGUUCUCCCUACCUUUAGUUCUCCCACCAGAUCUGCCCCGAGGGGGAAAGGUGCUGAGAAAAGAGGUGUCUGUGUUCUCCACCUUCCUAGAGGACCAGGGGUUGUUCCCUGCCCUCUGUCCUCUCUUUCAUUUCCAAGUUGGUAAAUAUGAUCUCUGAGGAGGUCAGUACAGGAAGCACAAGGUGAAGAUCCACCCAUCUGGAGGGCAUAGAACUGGAAAUGCUACAACAAUAGGAAAUUCUUGUGUCCAUAAGGAUAACAUCUAUUGAUCAAUGACAAAGCACUUCCAGAAACAUCACCUCAUUUGAACCUCUCACAAUAGUUAGGCAGAUUUUAAUGUUAUUGCCCCCCUCCCCUUUUUAACAGAUGAGGGAUCUGAAGUACUUAGAAGUGACUCUCUAGGAUCACAGAGGUCAUACUUGCAGGCAGGCUUUCUGACCCCAAAUUCUGUGUCCCCUGCUCUCCAGCAGGUCCACUCAGGAAUCCUGAUUUGGACAAGGGAUGCCAGAGUCAGGAAAGCCUCAUGGCUCCUGUCUUGGAUAUCCUCCAAGACUAGGGAAAAUUAGCCAAACGAUUUUAGUUUCUGCUAUGAAUUUAUCUUCUCCAACAAUAUAAAUCUUCCUCUUGUAAUGUUUUAUCUUGAUCCCAGCAAAACUUUGAAAGUAGUUAGGUUCUACGUGUUUACUAUUCCUGAGUGAAAACUGCUAUUUUUACUUUGCCCUUAAACUAUUUCUUUAGCAGGCUAAAGUUGUCUGCAGUUCUUAUGCUCUGGGAUUUAAUAAGUUCAUGUUUUUAUCCUGUGAUUUUCAUUGUUUUAUAAUUUUCAAUCGUAUCCCUCUCUUAGCCUGUGUCUUUCCAGAAUCAAGAGCCCUAUUUCUUUUAUCAUUCCUCAAAAAAGAAAGAAAGAAAGAGCUCUCUACCAUCUUGAUCAAAUGAGGUGUCCUUCUCUAGACUUUGUCUGGCUCUAUAUGUCUUUGAAGUACAUCAGAUCAUCAGGCCCCCAUCACUUUAUCUAUUAUUAUGUAUAAAAGAGCAGACUGACCUCAGCUAAAAUGUAAAGCUAUUUGAGAGCCAUCUUUAAAAAUCAAACAAUUCUUUUGCUCCGUGUCAGCUCAGCAUAUGCUGAAAAAAUAUACAAUUUUUGCUUCAAAUCUGAAAUGAAUUUAAACACACUGGUACAAGGUAACCUUGCUGUUAUGGUCCAGACCUAAAAUGUCCCCAAAAGCUCAUGUGUGGGAAGGCUUGGUCCCCAGUGCAGCAGAGUUCAGAGGUGGAGCCUUUGGAAGGUGAAUGGAUCAUGGGGGCUCCAACCUCACUGUGGAUCAAUCUAUUGGUGGAUUCAUAAUUUACCAUAUGGUAGAAACUCAAGAUAAGCCUAGUUUGAGAAAGUAGAUCCUUAAGGGCAUCCCCUUGAACAUUCUUUUCAACUCCUUCCCCUUCCUCUCACUCUCACUUUCUCCAUCUCUACUUCUCUGCUUCCUGGAUGCCCUGAGAUGAGCUGCUUUGCUCUACCAUGUGGCCCCUGCCAUGAUGUCCUGCCUCACACAGGCCCAGAGACAAUGAAGCCAAAGUGACCAUGGACUGAAACCCCUGAAACUGUGAGCAAAAAUAAAUGUUAGGGGGCUGGGGUUGUGGCUCAGUUAUAGAAGGCUUGCCUCGCAUGCAUGGGGCACUGGGUUUGAUCCUCAGCAUCACACAAAUAAAUAAAAUAAAGGUAUUGUGUCCAUCCAUCUAGAACAAAAAAUUUUUAAAAAUAAAUGCUUUCAAGAUGAUUUCUUUCAGGUGUUUUGUCACAGCAGUAGAAAACUGACUAAUGCAUUUGUAAUCCUUUAUGAAAAUGACAACUUGCAAAGCACUUUCAUGUAUAUCAUCUCAUCCACCCCUCAUGAACCAUGCAAGGCAGAAAGAAAAAAAAAUUAUAUUACAUCUCAGAUGAAAAAAUAAAUAAAAAAGUGAAUGUAGUCCAAGAUCAAAGAGCUGGAAUUAGAGCCAGGUCCCUGGUCCCCGAUGAUAGCUUAGCCACAGUGUGAUACAUCCUUUCUUUUAAUCACUUGUUACUUACUUUAAAUCCCCAAACUUCCCCCUCUAUAGUCUCUUUCAGCGUAGCCAUGAAAUAGUUGGCAGCUCUACUGAAGAGAGCAGUUCAUGACUGAUCUAAACCCUCUUCCUUUCUUACUCCACAAACUCUUCAUGGGUCGUCUCAGCCACACCAAGGACAUCAAUAUCACCGUGCAAACGACUCCCAAAUAUGCAUCUCUAGGCACACCUCUCCUGAACACCAAGAGGAUAGAUCUUCCUUAACCUCUCCAAAUUAAGAUACCCCCCACCCCGUUACCUCAAAACUUAAUGUAAAAAUGUACAAAACUUCAUCUUCUGCCUCAUGAUACCUCUCUGCUGCCAAAACCCAAUUCUCUUUUGCUAUUCGUCCUCUCAGACACAUCCAGGAAGUUAAGAGUCAUGUGGACACUUUCCUCGUCCCCCUCCUCCCUGCCCUAUCCCCAGUCUAACAUCAGGGCCCUUCAUUCAUCUCCUACAUGGUUCUCCUUUCCGUCCACUUCUAUCCUUUCCCAUGACCACCAUCAUAGUCCACGCUAUGAAGAUCUCUCAUUGGACCUAAAUGGACUCUGCAUUGGUCUGUUCCUCUUCAAUCCCUUUUCCCCACUAUAGCUGGAGGGAUUCUUCAAGAGAUGGUCCUCAGGGAGACCUUCCUUGACCACCCUCCCCAAAUUAAGACCCCCCAUUAUGCUUUACCUGGCUCCCGUUCAGCCUGGUUUGUGUGAUUGAUUAACAUCUGUCUCCCCAACUAGUUUAUAGCUUCUGCUCACUAUGUACCCCGGUGCUGGGCUGAGUUUGACACAUAAGUGUGUGUUUAGGUGAAUAAGCCCACAGAUAAGGAUAGGAUUACAUACACUGUACAUCCUCACUAUGGAAUACCAAGAAGGAGUUAAAAAGACUGAGAUUACUGUAUAUUUACUAACAUCAACGACAUCCAUGAUAUAUUAUUGAUUAAAAACAGCACAUUAGGGCCAAAGAUAUAGCUCAGUGAUAGAAAGUAUGCUUAAAUAAAAAGCCAGUGCAUUGUAGAACAGUGUGUACUAUUUUUAAGUCUAUAUAUACACACAUAUAUCUUGAUUUUAGAAAGAACCUCUGUGGGGCUGGGGCUGAGUGGUAGAGUGCUUGCCUAGCAUGUAUUAGGUACUGGGUUCGAUCCUCAGCACGCGUAAAAAAAUAAAUUAAAUAAAGGUAUUAUGUUCACCUACAACUGUCCACUUCUAAGAACAGUUAACCAAAGGAGGGGGACCACCUUUGUUUUGAAUUCCUCGACAAUGAUGAAGUUCCAGAAACCAGCCUGUAGCCGGCUCAGAUUUUUGAUUCAGCAACCAGCCCUGCUGAUGAAGCACACCGCCGGAAAUGCCAGGGUUGAUUCAAUUAGGCCUCGGCCUCGGGUGACUCUCCUAAACAAAACAGAUUGUGAAAAAUCACUGCUCUUUGAUUCCCUUUUACGAUCUCAGAAGGAAAGAUAAGGAAAUGAAAUGACAGCAUGGGAUUUUCCUGGUUUUCUUGUACUUUGGUGGUGGUUGUUAGAUACGGGUGAGUGUGGGAAGGCAUCCCUAUUUCCCUUCGCUGGUCAAAUAGCAAAGCUUUUAUUGUCUUCACUGUAGCUCAAGAUGGCUUUCUAAACUCGGAGAUUUCAGAGGAAGGAGAGGACGGAACAUGCUGGCGAGGUGCAGAUAGGCUCCUUCUGUGGCUAAUCGAAGAAAACCUCCCUCUGGUUGCCCAGAGAAGCAGGUGCAGGUGGACGGGCCCACGGGUUCUGAAAAAGGCAAGGCAGGUGUGUGGGUGGGAGCCGGCAGCCAGCCUACCAGGAGGCUGGGGAAGUCUGUGAAUUCAGAAUAAAUACUGUCACUUGGAG
rnacentral:lncRNA from 1 species